UUGUGAAGAAAUCACCAUCAUGAAGGCUGUUACGAUUCUUCUUUUGAUAGUCGUCGCCACGGCUUAUGCUCAACGAGGUGGUGCUGGAAUUGAUCCCGCGUUCGGCAGACCGUCGGUGGGUGGAAACAACGUUGUUAUCGGUAA